rnacentral:tRNA from 2 species
AUUUAUAUAGUUUAUCUAAAACAUUACAUUUUCAUUGUAAAAAUAAAAUAAAAUUUUUUUAUAAAUA